AUAUACUUCAUAAACUUC
rnacentral:snRNA from 1 species